UGCCAGACUCCUACGGGAGGCAGCAGUGGGGAAUAUUGCACAAUGGGGGGAACCCUGAUGCAGCGACGCCGCGUGAGUGAAGAAGUAUUUCGGUAUGUAAAGCUCUAUCAGCAGGGAAGAAAGGUGCCCCUUGGGCGCCUGGACGGUACCUGACUAAGAAGCCCCGGCUAACUACGUGCCAGCAGCCGCGGUAAUACGUAGGGGGCAAGCGUUAUCCGGAUUUACUGGGUGUAAAGGGAGCGUAGACGGCAGCGCAAGUCCGGAGUGAAAUGCCGGGGCUCAACCCCGGAACUGCUUUGGAAACUGUGCAGCUAGAGUGCGGGAGAGGUAAGCGGAAUUCCUAGUGUAGCGGUGAAAUGCGUAGAUAUUAGGAGGAACACCAGUGGCGAAGGCGGCUUGCUGGACCGUAACUGACGUUGAGGCUCGAAAGCGUGGGGAGCAAACAGGAUUAGAUACCCCCGUA
rnacentral:rRNA from 1 species